UAGGUGCCUGAUGGAGCUGAACAGCUGCACCAGCUUGAAAAGAGUUACUAUUGUGCAUUGAACAUUAUGGUCCUGAAAGCAAGAACUGACUGCUGCCAACCCACAUGGCUCUUCACAUUCACUGCUGAAUGUGAGUUUUGAGAUGGCUAACUUGAAAAAAGCCUUACAAAAACAGGAAUGGGUACGACAGUUUCUGCAUGACCUGAUAUUUUUCACUUUAAAAUACUGCAGAUCAUUUCCGUCUUUCCUUCUCCCCAAAGAACAUUCCUUCCUGAAUUGUGUCAAAGUAAAGUACAUUUCUGGGUGGUGAGCAUUUGUUUCCGGACAGGUAACACCCAGCAGAAGCAGAUAACUCCACAGAGUUGAUGUUUUCAGCAUGCAGAUAUUUUUGCAGAGCCACUAAAUCCCAACACAGCUCCUGCACAUCCUACUAAUGUUGGCAUAAAACCAACUCUUUGCCAGCUGGUACGGAUCAAACUUUUUUACUGUUCGUUUUACUGUGAGGUACAUAUCAUAUGGCAGUUAGUGAUGUGCUUAAAUGUAAAGAAAGAAAGAGAUUGAUCCAGACAGUGAAGUUUCAUCUAAUCCUUCAUCUUUGCCUAUGUACUAUAUUUCCAGAGAUUCAUAUAGUUUUUCAUGUCUGGCAUAAAUGUAGUGGUUCUCCAUUGCACAUUGGAUAAUAUGUGCGAAUGGCACUAACAGAUGCACAGAAGUUUUGUUUUAUUGGAAGCUUUAUUGUUAUAAGCUUUGCAUAUUAUAUUUUUUUCUUUUUUGGGAUAGGUUUUUCAUACUCUUCAAGAUUGGGGCUCUUAUUUUUUAUCUUGUCUUAGGCAAGUUCUUAUAUUAAAAAGACAAUUGUUUUUUUCAAAAUAAGACCUUGUUUCUGUAGAAAAAAAUCUUAGUGUUGGCAGAAGAUGAUAUUUUGAUAGCAGUCUCCACUGUCUUCUUGUUCCUAAGUGAGCUCUUCCUGCGUGGAUGGGAGCCAGAUCAACACACAUCCAUGAUUCUCUAUUGACCUACUCCUGGAGCCAAACUCAUCUCAUUGCUUCCAUCAAUGCACACUCAUAUGCAAUUCUAUUACUUUCAUGGCGCAUAUUUUCAGAAUGUAUAAUUGUAAGUAUUUUAAAGUGUUUAUAUGUAGCCCUGAUUUUUUAAGAUUUUCUAAGCCUUCUGAUGUUUACAUUUUUGUAACAAACUUCCUCACACACUUUCUGUAAAUACCUUAUUGUUUUUCAUUCUUUAUGGAGGAGGAGAAAUUUGAUGGACUGCUGGUUUGUCCAGUGUCAUUGGAGAGGUGGCACUUUCACCCUCCAAUCCACUGUCACUUUUGGAAAUCUAUAAAUGUUGAAGGGAGAAAAUAAACUUCCAUUUU
rnacentral:lncRNA from 1 species